GAACAAAAGCCCCUGCAGCGAUACGCCCAGGUCAGCAACACUGUGCCUCUUCUGGUCUCUUUCUUCUCUGGAGGUGACUCCACAGCAGCCUUCAGGCUCUCUGAGGGAGAACAUCGUCACUGUGGUCCAGGAACAUCCCAUGGAUGGAGUCAUGAGCUGGAGGUGCUGGUGUGGAGUCAUCCUGCUCCUGACAGCCGACGCUCUGCCGGACCGUCCACGGUGUUGUAGAUGAACUGAUGAACAUCCACCUUCAUGUCCUCAGACAGGAGCAGGAGCAGGAAACUGGGGCUUUGCUCUCCUGGCUGCUGGGAUCACUGAUGGCUGCUGAAAUCUUCCUCCUGCAGAGCCACAGAAAGUCUAUGACAUAAACAGAAACCCUUUCCCCUCAGUUAUACUGCAGGUUGUUUGUGAGUCCAAAGGGAGGUUUAUUGAUCUGUGCAUGACGUUCUUGUCCUGCAUAAAUCCCCCAUGUAUCAGAAGGACUGCAUCCUCCAGCUGGGUGCUUCCUCUUGGGUGAUGGAGGGUGAAGAUGUCUGCAGCGUCAUGACACCUUAGCAGCAACCUGUCGCAGUUCCUGCUCCUUCUACACGCUGGGAGGACCUGACAGGUUUGGAGCACUCCUCAGUCCAACACUUCUCCAGACGGAAUCGGCUGUAACGUGGAGAAUCAAACAGCAGGGGGCGCCGUUUGAACAUCAUCCAACUGAUCAGCUGGAGCUGCUGGAGGCUGAGACACAAACAGGAAGUCAGAAACAAGAUGAGGCAUUUAUC